rnacentral:rRNA from 1 species
GAACGAGAAAGUGGAGCAAUCCAUGAGUAAAGUGGCGACCGGGUGAGUAACACGUGACUAACCUACCUUCGAGUGGGGGAUAACCUAGGGAAACCUGGGCUAAUACCGCAUAACAUCUUUGGAUCGGAAGAACUGAAGAUCAAAGGAGCAAUUCGCUUGAAGAGGGGGUCGCGGCUGAUUAGCUAGUUGGCGGGGUAAUGGCCCACCAAGGCUUUGAUCGGUAGCCGGCCUGAGAGGGCGCACGGCCACACUGGAACUGAAACACGGUCCAGACUCCUACGGGAGGCAGCAGUGGGGAAUUUUGCGCAAUGGGGGAAACCCUGACGCAGCAACGCCGCGUGGAGGAUGAAGUCCCUUGGGACGUAAACUCCUUUCGACCGGGACGAUUAUGACGGUACCGGUGGAAGAAGCCCCGGCUAACUUCGUGCCAGCAGCCGCGGUAAUACGAGGGGGGCAAGCGUUGUUCGGAAUUAUUGGGCGUAAAGGGCGCGUAGGCGGUGCGGUAAGUCACCUGUGAAAUCUCCGGGCUUAACUCGGAGUCUGCAGGCGAAACUGCCGUGCUGGAGUAUGGGAGAGGUGCGUGGAAUUCCCGGUGUAGCGGUGAAAUGCGUAAAUAUCGGGAGGAACACCUGUGGCGAAAGCGGCGCACUGGACCAUAACUGACGC